rnacentral:rRNA from 1 species
AGAGCGAACGUUAGCGGCGGGCCUAACACAUGCAAGUCGAACGAGAAUGAGGGGGCAACUCCUCUAGUAAAGUGGCGGACGGGUGCGUAACACGUGGGUAAUCUACCUUCCGGCGGGGGACAACAGUCCGAAAGGAUUGCUAAUACCGCGUACGUCAGCGAGACCUACGGGUCUUGUUGGGAAAGAUGGCCUCUCCUUGGAAGCUGUCACCGGAAGAUGAGCCCGCGGCCCAUCAGCUAGUUGGUGAGGUAAUGGCUCACCAAGGCUUAGACGGGUAGCUGGUCUGAGAGGAUGAUCAGCCACACUGGGACUGCGACACGGCCCAGACUCCUACGGGAGGCAGCAGUGGGGAAUAGUUGGGCAAGUGGGCGAAAGCCUGACCCAGCCACGCCGCGUGAGUGAUGAAGGCCUCGGUACGUAAAGCUCUGUGGGAGGACGAACGAAGCCUGUGGCUAAUAUCCGAACGGCCCUGACCGGUACCUCCUUAGACAAGCACCGGCUAACC